CUAUUACUGAGAGUUCCCUUCAAGCACUUCACGAAGAACUUUUUCCAGGUAUUAUGUGAAGUGUUUGGGGGAACUCUUGGUGCAAC
rnacentral:pre_miRNA from 1 species